GGUGAUCCUUUCACCUCCACUUCCUGAGUAGCUGGGACUACAGACAUGGAUCCCUGAGGUUGGUCCCCAAUACUACAAGGCAAUUUGGUAUCAUAAUAGAACACUGCAGACACAAUGCUGAGUGAAGAAGAGUAGAAAUGGGAAGACUUGGUUGAGCGGAAACUGAAUUCUUGAAAAGAGGAGAUGCUCGAUGAGGGCAUGGAAGCCUAAGGUCUGUCUCCAAAACUACAAGACUAUUUGACAUUAUAAUAAAACACUGCAGAUAUGACGCUGAGUAAGAGUGGAAAUGGGAAGACUUAGUUGUGCAGUAACUGAGUUCUUGAAAAUAGGAAAUGCUUGAUGAGGGCAUGGAUCACUAAGGUCUGUUCCCAAUAUGAGAAGACUAUUUGACAUCAUAAUAAAACACUGCAGAUAUGAUGCUGAGUGAAAAAGAGUAGAAAUGUGAAGACUUGGUUGUGCAGAAACUGAGUUCUUAAAGAGAGGAGAUAUUUUAUGAGGGCAUGGAAAUCUAAGGUCUUUCCAGAAUACCACAAGACUACUUGAUAUCAUAAUAAAACACCGUAGAUAUGAUGCUGAGUGAGUAAGAGUAGAAAUGGGAAGACCUGGUUGUGCAGAAACUAAGUUCUUAAAAGGAGGAGAUGCUUGAUGAGGGCAUGGAUCCUUAAGGUCUGUUCCCAAUACAACAAGACUAUCUGUUAUCGUAAUAAAACACUGCUGAUAGGAUGCUGAAUGAAAAACAGUAGAAAUGGGGAGAUUUGGUUGUGCAGAAACUGAGUUCUUAAAAAGAGGAGAUGCUUGAUGAUGGGGACCUCUGAAGUAUUCCAAAGGCCAGGUGCCAGACAGGCUUUCACCCUAUCACCGAGACUGGAAUACAGUGGCAUGAUCGUGGCUCACUGCACCAUCGACCUCCCUGGGCUGAAGUAAUCCUCUCAACUCAGACUUCCAAGUAACUUGAACUACAGGCUGGAGUGCAAUGGAGCGAUCUUGCCCGGCCAAUACUGAGUUCUUGAAAAGAGAUGUUUGAUGAGGUUGCAGGGCUUUGACUCCUGGGUACAUGUAUCUCUUCUGAAAGGGAACCCUGAUGCCUACUGAAUCUUAACAGUCAACGUUGAUAUCUGGCAUCAAAUUCAAGUUGACCAAAGUUCCAUCUUCUGACCUCGGAGAAGAUGACAGUCAAAAUGAACUGCUUUCAUGUGACACUGGACCAGGCCUAUAUACAAAGGCAUAAAUAAUCAUUGAAUAAUGUUUCCUCUAUCUAAAUAUAAUUUGUUCUAUGCCUUACUAGAUAAAUGUUUAGUUACCUAUGAGUUUUCUUUUCCUGCCUUUGUCAGAGCUAGGCAGGGCUUAAGUCUCUUUUGUUUAAACAUUACUAACUUGAUACAUAGCUUGCAAAAUUGGGUAAAACAACAAAGGUUACUUUUUCGCUCUCUCUCUGCUUAAUAUCUGUGAAAUUUAAAACUAUUUAGAAUCCCACUGGCCCAAUCUAUUUUCAAUGCUAAUGCUCCACUGCUAAAACUAUAUAAGCACCUUCCCCCUAGGCUCAGGCACUAUCUUGGAAGAGGUAAGUGUAUAAGGUUGAUUUUUGAGCAACAAAAUUAAUUUAGAUUUUCCAAAUCAAAAAUGGGCACACAGAUGCCCAAACAGUUGGCAAAAUAAGAUACUUUACCUCCUGGACCAGUAUGUGGUCCCUUUUCAUCCAUCCCAACCAUAAUUUCUUCUUUCCCGUAGAAUUAAAAGAAAAUUGCAAAGAGGACAUGAACAUACCUGGUAACAAAACCUCCUGGGUAUAGUGCUCCCAGUUAUGAGAUUUAUGCAGAUUGUUAUAUAAAGUUUUUAAAAUCAAACACCUUAGGACAGACUAUUAAAAAGACUGCCAAAAGCAUUGUGACACAACAGAAGUCUCUAAAUUCUGUAGCUUAAAAAGUUUUAACAAAAUAUUUAUGUUUUGCAAGCUAAUUGCUACAAGUCUAUAACUAAAACAUGUAUUAACUGAUGUCUUAGGUCUCCCUAAAAUAUAUAAAACCAAGUUGUAAACCAAUCACCUUGGGCACAUGUUCUCAGGAGCUCUUGAGACUGUGCUUUGGGCCAUGGUCGCUCAUAUUUGGCUCAGAAUAAAAUUUAAAGAAUAUUUUACAGAGUUAUGUUUUUCUUGUUGGCUUUUUCAUAAAAUAUAAAAUGUUUGAGAAAGGCACUUCUCAAGUGGCCAAGUGAGGAUAUUCUAGCUUAAUGCGUAGAAUUUACAGCUAAGUCAAUUUUGUAACCUUGCCUUUUGACUUUUGGUUCUUGAAGCUUACAUUACAGAAUUUUAAGGUUUGAUAAAUGCCUGCUCCACUUCCAUUCCCAUCUGGCCUAGAAUAUUUAAAUUGGCUAUAAGUCUUUUGGCUCUAAAUCUGUUGGCUGUGAGUCCCCACCAAGGGAUAGGAUGGACCCAGGGCAGAUAACCACACCACUCCAGCAAUGGUAUGGGACAAAAUGAUAGUUUGGCCAUUGAUGUUGCU